GUCAUCGGUGGUGUGAACUUGUUGUUAAACACAAAUAUGUGUCUGGAUAUGGAGAUAUUGAGAAAUUUCUCAGAGAAGAUCAGGCAAUGGGUGUGUAUCUCUAUGGUGAAUUAAUGGUGAAUGAAGAUGCCAAACAACAAGAACUUGCAUACAAAUGCUUUGCUGCAGCACAAGAACAAAUGGAUAUGUCCUCAGCCGAAGUGGUGGCAGAGAUGUUAUUUUGAAGAGCUCAGCUGCUGGAGUGUGAGUUAGAUGUAUAGGCACUUGCUGGAGAGCAUGGAAAUGCUUUGCUGUAAACUUUGUGCUGGAUAUACGAAGGGCAGUUGUAAGUCAGAAUGGCCAGGAAAGGCCAGGUUCCACCUACAAUUGUUUUCUAUUCUGUAUUCUUAACUCUGUCUACAGCAUACUGUAUGAGAAAGCACAUGCUGAUUGUACAGGUAGUACAGGUCUUUGAAAAGAAUGUGAGCCCCAAAUGGAAGUUGUUCUCACAUGAUUCAGAUUUGGUUUGAAGUGCACAAUUUGUUCUUCACAACCAUGUAGAGUGUAGUCAGGUGUUUGGAGACUGGUUAUAAGAUAAGAGUAGCCUUAGCAUAAAGAUGCUGGUUAAUGUCAUACAGAAUCUAAUUUGUUUCUGAAAUUAAUAUAGAAAAUUCAGUAAAGAAGCAAAAUUGCAACAAAUAUUCACAAAAUAAAGAUUGCUGUAGAAGGAGGUUAUAAAUUAUUAUUUGCAAAGAUAUUCACUAUCUGUCAGUCUAUUUGAAUUGCUUCUCAGUGUUUGUACACAUAUUAAACACGAAGCCAAAUAGGAUUAGUGAAUAUCUCUUCCAGUAUACCUCACAUUUUUGCUUCAUGAUAUAGCUCACCUGACAGACUGAUUGCCUUGACUUUGGUUUCAGAAUUAAGGCUUCUAAUUUAGCAAAACCAUUUUUUUCUAAUUGGUACUUAGUAGGAAUCUUGAUUACUUUUUUCCUCCUAUUCAAGCCUGUACAUGUGGCAUUACUUGAAUGUAAGUUCCACUUGAAUUCGUUGCAUUUAUUUUUGUGAAGUACAGCAGAUGCCAUGAAUACAAGUUUGUUUAUAAACAGUUCUGUACAUGUCUGUCUAUACAUGUUCUGUAUAGGCAAGCAAUAUGUCUGUUUGAAAACCUUUGUGGGAAAUGUGGUGGAGACUGAAGAGUGCAAGGGUAGCAGUUAUGAGGAGAAGAUUGCCUUCUAAAUAAAUAGACCUACGGGACUCGCUUACAUGGUCUCCCAGUUAUCAGGGGCGCACAGUAAUUGGAGUUACAUACAACAUUUUACAAUCUGGUAGAUGCCAGGAAUAGGAAGAUGCAGUUUGUUCUGGUACUACAAUACUUGGCACCAUCUUUCUAUAUUUCUCUAAAUAGUGACAUAAACUUUUCUACAACUUCUGGUGGUAAGUAUCUGUCUAGCACAGGAACAUUAUAUAUUAGCUAUGCACAAUAGUCUAGAAUUGCUGUUUGACUUUUUAGACAGAUUAGAAAUGCAUAGUGAGCUAUAAAAUAAAAGCUAAAGUGCCACUAGGAAUGUGUCUGUGUGACUGCACAGGCUUCUUUUAAUGUUGUGGCUGUUUGGGUUCCUGGCAUGAUGAUUUGUGAGUUAAGAUUAAAAUCACAUUGCCAGGGAUUACCACAUAGCCAUGACCACAGCUGCUACUCUGAAAAUGACUGUAACUAUCUGAUAACACGUACACUGUGGCAUCCUCUCCAUCCAUUAAACAAAAAAGUCCAAAGAGGAAAGGAGCAGACGCAUCAUGGAAGAAUCUCAUCUGAUAAUUAGUGGUACUGAGAUGGAGACCUCUCUGGUGAGGUGCAGAGCUUAGCUGAUUGGUGAACAGUGAUUGUUUCCCUCUUUGUUCACAGUGGCUAAGUUCUGCACCUGAAGAGAAGGUGAGAUGAGGAUGUUUCUUAAGUGUCAGCCUGCGCAGGGUGGAGACCAUUUGCUACUUGACGGGCAGCUUUGCAAUUAGUGCUGGUGUGCCAAAUACAGUGUGGAGUGGCUAAGAGGCAGAGGCAGUUGGAGAGGACCAAAGACAUUCUUUUUUAGUUGAAAAUAAACAGCACUCCUUCUGUCUGACUGCAAAAAUAGGGUAUUUCCUACAGUAACAUGGUUACAGAGCUUUUCUAAAGGUCAGAGGAAAUUAGUGUUUGUGAUGUUAAACUGGAAUUAUCUGUAAAGCUUUGUUUUGUAGGCUCUUCUUCAGUGUAUACUCCCGUGUUUUCUCUGCAGCUGUAGCUUAGUACUGUGUAUCGUUUGCAGGAAAUGGUUGUUUCCGACUGGAGCUGCCACUUACGGCUGCUGCUGUUGUCCCGAGCAUGGAUGGACCCGUCCUCCGGUGCCUACUGAGCUGAUAUCAGUUCUGAUUUUACAUACUGGCUCAGUUCAGCAGGAACAGGAGUCGAGCCCUAAAGCAAAAAAAUAUAUAUAUAAUAAAAAUUAAAAUUAAAAUUAAGAAAAAUAUAGAUGUGCCUUUUCUAAGAGCCUUUGAAAAAUGUUGUUAUUGUUUUCUCUAUAAAAUCAAGUUAGUGUACAUUAUGCUGUCCUGACGUUAAACACCAUACUCUUAAGGUGGAAAAGCUACCUCAGUACUGUUUAGAAAACUAUUGGCUUGUGACAAGAGGUAUGUGAACAUGUAUAAUAUUGCACAGCAUUACCCUGAUAACGCCUCCAGCAUUAUUUUCAGAGUAACCUGCUAAUAACUGGGGAAAUUGCUUGUUCUUUGGCUCUUCUGUGUCUUCUCCGAACAUUGUUGUGGUACCUGUAAGGAAAUCUCCCUUCCCAAUGCUCACAGUUCUAUCGCAGAAGAUGUAGCGGGAAACAGUGCAUUUAAAAUACAAAUUCAGCUUUGUUAAUGUUGCAACCACAGUUAUGCUCUGCUAGUAACCUAAAAAAAUAACAUUUCAAAAUAAGGAAUACAGAGAUACUGCUUUAUUUUUACGGAAUAAUAACUUUCACUGCUCUUUCCGUUACAGGAAAGAUCACAGAGAAAUUCAUUUAAUCUAUCUCCUACUAAACCUCGGUGGUGUAGGAUUUCCUUGACCCAAGACAUCAAAAGAAGGAUUAAGUAACUGCUAAAACAAUCAGCUGACAGAAACAUUUACCUUUCUGUAUUUGUUUUCCAGAGGCUCACUGUAACCAAGAACAGGUAAAAAUGCAGAGAGACACCAACUGGCUUUAUACACACAAACACACACUCUAUUGUGGCUCUAGGUAGUCCUUACAAUACAAUUUGACAGGAAUUGAUGAAACUUUAUUCUGUACUUAAGAUUUUGUUUUAACUUCUACACCACUUGAGAAAGUUACAUAAAAUUAGCUGGAUGGUAGAGUGGGGAGAUUAAUUAGAAGAUGGAAUAAUCUCUGGAAGAUGACCAGCCAUUGAUACGGUGAUGGGAUGGGACUGAAAGAGAGAUUAAAAUUUUGUUCCUGUCUUGGUAAGGUUAACUUCUACCAGAAAUGUACCUCUCAAAUUCUAGAAAUAUCUUUUACAGCCCUGUUCUACUCCUUUUUUCUUCACUCUGUACACUAUUGCUUUAAAUCUAAUUCUUGUAACAAUAAAUAUGUUUUUCAAAUA